AUAAAUACUAAGUGAGAAUCACAAUCAAGCUGGUCAAAAUUCGAUACAAAUGUCUUCGUUGAGUUCAGAUACGGAAAAUAACAGUUACCAAAGCGAUGACUGCCUGAAAUUAUAUUCCUGGGCCGUAUCAAAUCGAGUGAAAUCGAUGAAAACACCAGUGAAGCGUGGUCAACGUCGUGCGCACAAAUGAUCGGCGCUGCUUGAUCCAUAUGUUACAUGCAAUGAACCAUGCAGUGACCGACGAAGAUGGCUCAAAAGUUACCGCGAAAAAAAGCAAUCACAACGAACGUCUUAAGCAAUUACAACAAAGGCUUGAUAGUUCAGAAGAAUUGAGUAAAUGGUAAAUAUUUCACGGCUCUGAUUUUGUUGCGUGACUUGACCUUGUGUUGUAAAUUACACACUAUAAUAUUUCAUGUGUAAACGUGGCAAUUGUCGCAUUGAACUGCUUCGUAAAUUAUGCUAAAGAGUGUCAAUGUUGUAUGGAAAUUGAGGAGUGCGUCGAUUCUCUACACAGUGACAUUGUGAUUUGUGAUGCAAGAAGCUGAAGUCGCGCCAUCAUGUAUAAUUCAACAGCUAUGGCUAGAUAAGUGAGCUCUCCGUUCAGCAGCCACGAAAUUACGAACAACAAAGAAACAGGAAUACCGUCAAACAAGCACAGAAGAUAGGUAAAUAAAGUUAUAUUUAUCAACAUAUUGAAAUUAUGAAACACUAAAACCGUACCCGAGUUUACUAUCAGUGAACACACGCAUGCGGUACGGUAACUGAGAGUUUAUACACGG